UUGCAGCCCAUGCAACUGCAUUACCUAUUCUCACUGCUUCCCUGCCAAGAGCUUAAAAUAGGGAAGUUUAUGCACUUGUAAGAGAGUCAAACCGGGAAAUAUUUGCUAGAGAUCCAUAUUCUAAUGCUAGUUCUAGGAGAUGUAAUCGAAUUUCUCCUGAAAGGGCAAUCAUGUAUUGUAUAUUUAAAGGAUCUGCACUAAGAGAGGAAGUUCCCCUUGAUAUAUACAUUACUGGAAAAGAGUAUCGUGCUUCUGGUCUUUAGAGAGAGAGGAAGAGCCUGGCUGCUAAUUCACACUGAUGCUUCUUUAGACAGGUACCAGAGAGGCCAUGAAAGAGGGCAACAACACCUUCUAAGAUACCCAUAUUCCAUAUAUGGUGACACCAUCACUCUAUCCAAGGGACUUGCUCCUGCUGAUCCUCUGUACUUGGCUGAGAGAGAUUAUCAGACUUAUUAUGUGGGUUCCAGACAUGAACAGCUAUUCAGAGUUUUCCCCUGUAGCUACAGCCUUCGAUUCCUACAAGCUAUUAUGGUGCUUCAUCUUUGGACCCAUAUCUGCCACCUCCAAGGAGAGAAGACAUGGCCUCAGGUUCCUACUCUGCUGCUGGAUUGAGAGUGACUUACAGAACUGAUCCCUUAAGAAGGGGAGAGAAUGAUGAAGCUGAUGGGUAAACUAUUGUAUGCCACAAGCGGUCUAUCAAACUACAACAGGCGAUACCCUAUGAAGUGCCCAAGCCGGAAUUGGCAGCCGCAUGUGUAUCAUUAAGGUACUCCUUUUCCCGUCCAUCUCUAUCUUACUGAUGACUGGUGUUUGAGUGUUUCAACUGUUCAUUCUCUGUACCGUUUGUUUCUCCUUUACCAAAUUUCUUUCUGUAUUUUGAGUCUAAAAGCAUAAUUGUCGACAGUUUGCCUGCUUUCAAGUAUAUUUCAAACCUUUCAAACCAUUUAGCUUUAUCCAGAAACUUAUGACUUUAUAGAAAGUAUUUGUUUCAUUGUAUCACUGAUGGUCAGGCCAUAAAAUUAGUUGAAUGAUGGUAUCAAGCGCUUUGCUAAUCCAACUUUCUACAAAUCAUAGACCUUUUCUCAUUCUGUAAUGGAGCCUUAGUUUGUUUCCAUUAUGUCAUUAUCUGUGCUUGAUCGGUCGCAUAUUCAUGUGCCAGAUAUUCACAUGGCGCGCGAGAGUUUCUAAGCCACUUUAUAGGACCUGCAAUUGUCUUAAACAAGCAUCUUCUUAAAUUAUUUUAAUUCCUAAUUUCUUAGGCUGAAGUAGUGUUCUGUGCUAUUGAGUUUUUUCAUGCCCCAUAUUCUGAAAAUUGAAAAUUAAUAUUUGUUUACUUUCCUCCUGAAGAUUGAAAAUUUAUAUAGUUAAUUUUCAAAUUGAGUAUGUUAUUUUAAAUGUAGCACCCAUCUCCUUUAAGGAUAUAACCUUUUAAAAACAAUAUAAAUUUCACUCUUGUUAUUUGACGAGUACAAAGACUCAAUUUAUAUAAGCAUUUAAAACAUGAAAAAAAAAUGAUAAAACUGAUAUGAGUGAAUAAUGAUAGAUUAAGUGAUUAAUAAAGAUUGAGUCAGUCAAUCUUUAUGCUAAUUAACAAUCAGCUUUUCUUAAUCACUAAUUCAGACGAAAACAAUGAAUUAUUAAUUGAUUGUGUUGAAUAUUCUAUCAAUAUUACUUCAUUCUUAUCAAUAGGGAAUAAGGUUACCAUGCAAUAUGUAAGUAUUGAGUUUCAGGGGCUUUAUUUAUAUUAUUGACAAGUUAGGGCUCAUUCAUCCAAUCACUUACCCUCUUUUUGAGAUUAUUAGACGAUAAGAAUAGAGGACUUUAGCUUAUUGUGAUUUUGUUUACUCAUUAACCUUGCUAGCAUGCUAGUAAAGCAACACUUUGCAACUGCUCCAUGGCGUUUUGAAUUUGUUAAUUUGGAUGUCCCAUGACCUUGAAAUUUAGGAUAUGUUUGCUAUCAUUUUUUAUUGAAUAUUUUUUUUUAUAAAAAUAAUUAAAUAGAAAAUGCGUUUGGUAGGAGUGUUUCAUAGCGAUAAUAAGACAUUGUCGAGAAUAGAAUAUUUCAAUUCUUUAACUUUUCUUAACAAAUGUAGAAAACACAUUAUUAGCGUUAUCUGAAUUUUGUUUUCUAUCUUGUAUACAUUACAUGUAUGCCCGUAUGGGGACCAUACUUUUGUGAGUUCUGUAAUCUUUUUCUGUGAAAAAAAAAUUGUGGGCUCAAAAAUAUUAAAUACAAACAUGAGACUUGCCAUGAUAAAUACAUGGUAGAUUUUAUUAUGUUUAUGCAAUAAAUAAAAUAAUAAUUAAUUUUUGUUGAAAUAAUCAUGGAUAUUCUAUAAAUUAUUGUAGAAUAUUUUAUUUAACAAAACUUUGAAAUAAUAAAAAAAAUAAAACUACUCAUAAUUUGAUAUCAAGGGUGCAAAUUUCUUAGUUUCAUAAACAGUUUGUAAAUGUUCAUUUUAAGAAAUGUAAAUGUUCAUUUAAGGUACAUGGGUUUGCAGGCAGUUUAUAAAUGUGUGUGUGUGUAUUAUUGUCACCUGAGAAAUGCACAUAGUCAAAUUUUGUUGCAAAUUUUAAUGUAUUUGUAAAUGCAUAAGUCAAGUGAAGUAUAUAUUAAGAAUAAUGAAGUCAUACCUAUAAGAACUGUUAAUUUUUAGGAAAGUAAAAUUUAAUAUAAGUUAAUUAUACCUUUACAUAGAAAGAAAAUAUUUUGUUUAAGAAAAUUAGAACUAAGAUACAAGUAAAUAUGCAAGCAAAUUAAGAAUUCAAGAGAUUAAGGCUACCAGUAUUUAAGAAUCUACCACACAAUUCAACUUAACAAUUAUUUAAUUAUUAAUCAAUUCCUAAUUUUAAAAAGACAAAUCGAAAUCAAUUUAUGUCUACUUAUAAAUAUAACAAUUAAGUCCAAUAAAUUUAAUUUCAUUUAGCCAUGAGCCCAUUAAUAAUAAAUCAAAAUAAUAUUUGGCUUUUCUCCAAUUUGAUUUCUUUAAGCACAAUUUAUUCCAUAAUCUCAAUAAAAUAAAUUAACCAUCUAAAAAUAUAAAUAAAGAGACUAACUAAUAUAAAAAUAGAAAGGAAAUAUGUUAAUAUUAUGCCCAUCACCAAUUAAACUUGGUACUAAUUGUUACAUCGAAUUAUUUAAUUAGUUUGCAAGAAAAGGAAACCUAGCCUAAUUGAUUGGUAGAAGGAAAAAUAAAAGAAUUUUUAACAAGAAGGGAAAAAUAAAAGAAAUUUUCAAAAAAAGAAGCUAAGCCUAAACGACCCUGUUACUUUUCUCUCAUUGAUUCCAUUACGGUGCUGCAGCCCACUUUGACGUUUGAGUAUCGUUUCUUUGUUUAGGUAAACCAAUAUAAUAAUGCGGCAUUCCAUUGCCUAUUUCUCCCCUACAUAUUCAGCCACAGUUUCUGCUGCUGGGCCUCACCCUGAGGCAGUGGUUGUUCGAUUGUCGACUCUUAUAAUUUAUUUUAUCUUUUCUUUUUAAUUUUUCCCCACAAAUAGGGCAAUAACAAGCACACAGAUAUCCUUGCACUAUAUGAAUGCAAGUAACUUGGCAAUUGGAAAAAGUUAUAGAAAUUGUAAUAUCAAAUGUUUAAAAAAAAAAAAAAGGAUUUUGAGGAUUUCUACCACUGCACAUUUUAGUGGCUAAACAGUGCUACAGGUAUAAUUCAUUUCUCUCGUACACAGAACCCACCAUAUUACUAUAGGUGAGAACUUUUUAAAAACAAUAUAAACUUCACUCUUGUUAAUUCAUGAGCACAAAGACUCUAUUUAUAUAAGCAUUUAAAACAUGAAAAAGAAAAUAAUACAAUUGAUAUGAGCGAAUAAUGAUAGAUUAACAAAGAUUGAGUCAGUCAAUUUUUAUGCUAAUUAACAAUCAGCUUUUCUUAAUCACUAAUUGAGAUAGAAAAAAUCAAUUAUUAACUGAUUGUUUUGAAUAUUCUAUUAAUAAUACUUCAUUCUUAUCAAUAGGUAAUAAGGUUACUAUGCAAUAUGGGGUAAAAGCUCAUUUAGUUCUUAUAGUUUAAGAUAAGUAUCCAUUUAGUCCCUAUUUUUUAAAAUACCUUAAAACUUCCCUGCCGUUAAAGUAUUGAUACCCCUACCGUUAUUUUUUAUUUUUUUUGGCUUACUUUUACAAUAUUACCCUUUAAUAAUAUUUUUUUGUUUGGACAUUAAUAAAAAUAAAAUAAUUAAAUUACCAAUUUAACCCUAAAAAAUAAAAAAAAAUAUUUAUAUUAAUUUUUAAUUGUCAAAAAUUGUAUGCAAACUACCAAGUGUGCAAACGGUGCUUGCAAAAAAAAAUUAAUAUAAAUUUUUUAUUUUUAGGGUUAAAUUAGUAAUUUAAUUAUUAUUUUUUAUUAAUGUCAAAAAAAUUAUUAUAAAAGGGUAAUAUUGUAAAAGUAAGUAAAAGAAAUGAAAAGUAACGGUAGAGGUGUCAAUACUUUAACGGUAGGGAUGUUUCGAGGUAUUUUUUAAAAAUACAGAGACUAAAUGAACACUAAUCUUAAAAUAUAGGGACUAAAUAGACUUUCACCCAUGCAAUAUGUAAGUAUUGAGCUUCAAGAGCUUUAUUUUUAUAUAAUUGAUAAAGUUAGGAUUCAUUCAUCCUAUCACUUACUCUCUUUUUGAGAUCAUUGGAGGAUAAGAAUAGAGGAUUCAAUUGAAUCACUUUUACUUAUUGUGAUUUUGUUUACUCAUUAGCCUUGCUAGCAUGCUAGUAAAGCAACACUUUGCAACUGUUCCAUGGCGUUUUGAAUUUGUUAAUUUGAAUGUCUCAUGACCUUGAAAUUUAGGAUGUGUUUGGUACCAUUUUUUAUUGAACAUUUUUUAUUUUAUAAAAAUAAUUAAAAAAAAAGCGUUUGGUAGGAGUAUUUCAUAGCGAUAAUAAGAAAUUGUCGUGAAUGAAAUAUUUUCAUUCUUUAACUUUUCUUAACAAAUGUAGAAACACAUUAUUAGCGUUAUCUAAAUUUUUUUUAUAUCUUGUAUAUUGUAUACAAUAAAUGGGAUUACUUUUGUUCUUUUGUUUUUUAUGUGGCCCAAAAGUAUUAAAUACAAACAUGGAACUUACAUGAUAAAUACACGGUAGAUUUUGUUAUGUUUAUGCAUAAAUAAAAUAAUAAUUAAUUUUUGUUGAAAUAAUCAUGGAUAUUAUAUAAAUUAGUAUAUAAUAUUUUAUUUAAUAAAACUUUGAAAUAAUAUAAAAAAUAAAACUACUCAUAAUUUGAUACCAAUAAUUAUUAUUACAUUAUUUACUUGUAUAUUCAAUUUUUGCAAAAAUAUAUAAAAUAACGAAAAGAUAAAUCUAAAAUUUAUAAAUAUAAUUUAACUAUUCUAAAAUAUUUUUUUUAUAAAAAUUAUAUUAAAACACAUUUUCACUAUUUAUAUUUUUCAGAUAAACUUCAAAUACAUUUUCAUUUUUACCAAAAAACUAAUCCUUCUUAUUUUCUAAACAAAAUUCAAAAACAACGAAACGAUACCAAACACACCUUUGUUUUUGAGAUUAUUUGUGUUUCUUUUAUUAAUUUAAUAAAAAAAAUUGUGAAUGGGGCAAAUUGUCAUGGGCAAAUAAUCUCAGAUUUUCUAUAUUAAGACCAUAUCAUGAAAAUCGGAAACAAAUUAAUAUGGCUUUUUUUUUUUUUUUCUCCUUUUGCAUAAGUAAUGAAAGUUUUUGAGUUGGAGACAGCCUGCAGAAGCCACCAAAAAAUAAAGAAAAAUAGCAGAGCAUAUUUCUAGGCUAAUAGCCAGCUGUGAGAGUUGAUCAUCAAAUUCAUCUCUUGCUUUUAAAGCAAAUUGCGUGCGACGUGGUCCAUUGAAUUAUUGAAUUGAAUGGUAGGACAACCAACAAAUUAAAUGCUGCGUUUUGAGGAAAAGAACUAAAGAAGCUCAAAUUAUUGAUUAAUUAAUUUUACAAGAAAUUUUCUGCUCUCUUUGAUUCCAUUACGGUAUUGCUGCAGCUAGAUUUAAAGUUACAAUAUUCUAUUAAUGAAUAAGAAUAUAAUAAUAAUAAAAUUAUUGUUAUAUAAUUUUAAUAUUUUACUUUCUGGGUUCAGAAUUUCGGGCACUAACCAAACAAAAUGUGAUUAAUGUCUAGUUUUUUCGUGGAAACUCCUUCGGUGGUUAUCUUCUCCUUGCAGUAAUAACUGCAAAAUUAUUACAAAAGCAAAGAAAACUACAUAUAACAUUCUUUUUCUCUGUCUCUCUCUCUAUACAGUAGAGUGGUCUCUUUUAAUUAAGAGAGAGUUGAAGAAGAGUCAUAAAUUUCUCAUCUUGGCUUAUUGACUGAAAAUUCACGUUGCUGUUCUUGAAAAUUUUGAGAUCUGGUUUUGUGUUGAUUUGGAGAUGGGGAACCCAGAAGAUUUUUCAUAGAAAAGGUGGUCGUGGUUCAUAUUUCUUUUGUUUUUGACACAAUUUCCAUGCUUCAACUACACUCAUUGUCACUUACUUACUUUGUUAAUAAAGUGACAAAUAUAUUCGUAUGCUCAAAUGAAAUAUCUUCUGCUGGCUAUCAAACCUGGGCUUAAGCCUUUUCGUAAUGAUUUUUGUAUAUUUUUUUGAUAUACUUUUCUCUAUGAUUUUGAUCUCAAGCUUAUGUAUGGGAUUUACAAGGCAUCCUCUUUUGAGCCGAAAGCUUGUGCCAUGGCCUUUAUUGCUCAGGUUAAGUUCUAUAGUUGUUUAUCACUUCUUUAAUAAAUUUAGCCACAUCUUUGUGCUGACAACUUUUGAUCCGUUUAAUGUCCACGGGGAUUGUCUUCUUCUCCCUGAAAGCGUAUUCAAUAAGGCUAUUAAGAAAAAAUUAUGAUGAAAAACACAAGUUCAAAAUUGAGCUUACUCCCAGACAGGUAGAAAUUUUGUAUUUCCUUCAGUGGUUUGGUGACCAUUUCAUCUUAUAUCCUUGAAUUCAUAAUAUUUCAAGCUUCUUCCAUGAAUUUAUGAUAUUUUAAAAUUUUCUUUUCAGGUUAGGAAGCUCUCAGAACUUUUCCGACCUGUUGCAGCCCAUGCAACUGCAUUACCUAUUCUCACUGCUUCCCUGCCAAGAGCUUAAAAUAGGGAAGCUUAUGCACUUGUAAGAGAGUCAAACCGGGGAAAUAUUUGCUAGAGAUCCAUAUUCUAAUGCUAGUUCUAGGAGAUGUAAUCGAAUUUCUCCUGAAAGGGCAAUCAUGUAUUGUAUAUUUAAAGGAUCUGCACUAAGAGAGGAAGUUCCCCUUGAUAUAUACAUUACUGGAAAAGAGUAUCGUGCUUCUUGUCUUUAGAGAGAGAGGAAGAGCCUGGCUGCUAAUUCACACUGAUGCUUCUUUAGACAGGUACCAGAGAGGCCAUGAAAGAGGGCAACAACACCUUCUAAGAUACCCAUAUUCCAUAUAUGUGACACCAUCACUCUAUCCAAGGGACUUGCUCCUGCUGAUCCUCUGUACUGGCUGAGAGAGAUUAUCAGACUUAUUAUGUGGGUUCCAGACAUGAACAGCUAUUCAGAGUUUUCCCCUGUAGCUACAGCCUUCGAUUCCUACAAGCUAUUAUGGUGCUUCAUCUUUGGACCCAUAUCUGCCACCUCCAAGGAGAGAAGACAUGGCCUCAGGUUCCUACUCUGCUGCUGGAUUGAGAGUGACUUACAGAACUGAUCCUUAAGAAGGGGAGAGAAUGAUGAAGCUGAUGGGUAAACUAUUGUAUGCCACAAGCGGUCUAUCAAACUACAACAGGCGAUACCCUAUGAAGUGCCCAAGCCGGAAUUGGCAGCCGCAUGUGUAUCAUUAAGGUACUCCUUUUCCCGUCCAUCUCUAUCUUACUGAUGACUGGUGUUUGAGUGUUUCAACUGUUCAUUCUCUGUACCGUUUGUUUCUCCUUUACCAAAUUUCUUUCUGUAUUUUGAGUCUAAAAGCAUAAUUGUCGACAGUUUGCCUGCUUUCAAGUAUAUUUCAAACCUUUCAAACCAUUUAGCUUUAUCCAGAAACUUAUGACUUUAUAGAAAGUAUUUGUUUCAUUGUAUCACUGAUGGUCAGGCAUAAAAUUAGUUGAAUGAUGGUAUCAAGCGCUUUGCUAAUCCAACUUUCUACAAAUCAUAGACCUUUUCUCAUUCUGUAAUGGAGCCUUAGUUUGUUUCCAUUAUGUCAUUAUCUGUGCUUGAUCGGUCGCAUAUUCAUGUGCCAGAUAUUCACAUGGCGCGCGAGAGUUUCUAAGCCACUUUAUAGGACCUGCAAUUGUCUUAAACAAGCAUCUUCUUAAAUUAUUUUAAUUCCUAAUUUCUUAGGCUGAAGUAGUGUUCUGUGCUAUUGAGUUUUUUUCAUGCCCCAUAUUCUGAAAAUUGAAAAUUAAUAUUUAGUUUACUUUCCUCCUGAAGAUUGAAAAUUUAUAUAGUUAAUUUUC
rnacentral:lncRNA from 1 species